rnacentral:tRNA from 1 species
GGGCCCAUAGCUCAGCCUGGAAUGAGCGCCGCGUUAUCCACCCUCGUUCCAAGAGGGUUGGGAGCGAAGGCAACUCUGCUCCAAAAUCGCGGAGGCCGCGGGUUCGAAUCCGCUGAGGCGCUCCCUCAACGGCGGCUAUCCCGCUGGGUCCACCA